CCCAGAUCGGACCAGGGGUUCGGGAGUUACAGACAGUUAAAGAUUUGACUGACCGCAGGGACUCAGUAGCCGAAAACAGUUCCAUGCAUUCUGGCCCUGCGGCCGGUCUAUUUCAGUGAACCACAAAUACCGAACGGUUAGCCAUCCAUGCGAUUGCUACCAUUCGUAUGAUUCCCCUCGUUUAGGGGAAUCUAUCUACCGAACACCGGGGCGUUUGUGUGUUAGAUUCGUAUUGUCAGAGCACGCUGGAGGUCUUAGCGGUGCUUGGUUAGUGGAAUGCCUGGUUUGAGUUCCAGGCGUUCGACAACCAAGUACCGCUGUUCGUGCGUAAGAUGGCCGCCGCCACGUGUUCGGUAGGCGAAAUGGCGGCCACACAUACAGGAACUUAAUUCCCCUCGCAACAAUGUAUCACUCUGUUAAUGGGAAACACACGACCACCCCGGGGUGGUCUCCCGUUCGGUAGUUUCAGACAUUCGAAUAAAAACAUUACAAUACCAUGAAAGUCAAUUCGUGUGGUUAUUCCCUUGGUGAAUUACACCUAUUCCCACAGAAUAAUUAGUCCAAGUGGCAGGGUUUGCCACAUGUUACGAGUGUGAACGUUCUGAUUAAUUGGUGUGAACGUUCCAAUGGGGCACCGGGGAUGUCCUUGUUCGAGAGACGCCUGAGUCGGGAAACAAUCCUCGAAUGCUCCCACUGGUGUCAUUUGCCUGUAUGAAAGGCGGGUGCCCAGGGGAGCUCUCAUUGUUUCCCUUGUGAUUUGACAUUUAUUUAGCCAGGUGUAAAUGUUCUAACCUAACAUUCUAAAGGAGGUAUUGGGGUGGUCCCUGUUCGGAAGGUGAAUGGAUUCCCUUCUUGGAAGACCUACCGAACGGGGAGAGGGCACAAUAAAUGAAAAAUUGGUGAAAAUACACACACACACACACACACACUAAAGAAAGGCAAUUCACGGAUAUGCAGUGGUUCCACCACAGAUACAUUCAUGGGAAAAAGAAAGUAUACCCUCUGUGAAUUCUAUAGUUUUUACAGAUCAGGAUAUAAUAGCAAUCAUCUGCUAUUUAGCAGGAUUAGGUAAAUAUAACCCCAGAUGAACACAUGCCAUAUUACACUGUGUCAUGCUUUAUUUAACAAAAAUAAAAGGAGAAGCCAUGUGUGUGGCAAACCUAGCCACUUGGACUAUAUCAAGAGACUGUACCUUUAAGGGUUGCCUGUAUGUCGGUGGGGAUGUGUGUUCAACUAUGUACAAUGUAUGCUGGCUGUAAUACCUUGAAUUGCCUGUGUUUGCUAUCCGCCGAAUGCAGAUAGCUAUUUGUAUUGGGUUUUCCUU